rnacentral:rRNA from 1 species
GUCGAGCGGUAGAGAGAAGCUUGCUUUUCUUGAGAGCGGCGGACGGGUGAGUAAUGCCUAGGAAUCUGCCUGGUAGUGGGGGAUAACGUUCGGAAACGGACGCUAAUACCGCAUACGUCCUACGGGAGAAAGCAGGGGACCUUCGGGCCUUGCGCUAUCAGAUGAGCCUAGGUCGGAUUAGCUAGUUGGUGAGGUAAUGGCUCACCAAGGCGACGAUCCGUAACUGGUCUGAGAGGAUGAUCAGUCACACUGGAACUGAGACACGGUCCAGACUCCUACGGGAGGCAGCAGUGGGGAAUAUUGGACAAUGGGCGAAAGCCUGAUCCAGCCAUGCCGCGUGUGUGAAGAAGGUCUUCGGAUUGUAAAGCACUUUAAGUUGGGAGGAAGGGCAGUAAAUUAAUACUUUGCUGUUUUGACGUUACCGACAGAAUAAGCACCGGCUAACUCUGUGCCAGCAGCCGCGGUAAU